rnacentral:rRNA from 1 species
AGAGUUUGAUCCUGGCUCAGGAUGAACGCUGGCGGCGUGCCUAAUACAUGCAAGUCGAGCGAACGGACGAGAAGCUUGCUUCUCUGAUGUUAGCGGCGGACGGGUGAGUAACACGUGGAUAACCUACCUAUAAGACUGGGAUAACUUCGGGAAACCGGAGCUAAUACCGGAUAAUAUUUUGAACCGCAUGGUUCAAAAGUGAAAGACGGUCUUGCUGUCACUUAUAGAUGGAUCCGCGCUGCAUUAGCUAGUUGGUAAGGUAACGGCUUACCAAGGCAACGAUGCAUAGCCGACCUGAGAGGGUGAUCGGCCACACUGGAACUGAGACACGGUCCAGACUCCUACGGGAGGCAGCAGUAGGGAAUCUUCCGCAAUGGGCGAAAGCCUGACGGAGCAACGCCGCGUGAGUGAUGAAGGUCUUCGGAUCGUAAAACUCUGUUAUUAGGGAAGAACAUAUGUGUAAGUAACUGUGCACAUCUUGACGGUACCUAAUCAGAAAGCCACGGCUAACUACGUGCCAGCAGCCGCGGUAAUACGUAGGUGGCAAGCGUUAUCCGGAAUUAUUGGGCGUAAAGCGCGCGUAGGCGGUUUUUUAAGUCUGAUGUGAAAGCCCACGGCUCAACCGUGGAGGGUCAUUGGAAACUGGAAAACUUGAGUGCAGAAGAGGAAAGUGGAAUUCCAUGUGUAGCGGUGAAAUGCGCAGAGAUAUGGAGGAACACCAGUGGCGAAGGCGACUUUCUGGUCUGUAACUGACGCUGAUGUGCGAAAGCGUGGGGAUCAAACAGGAUUAGAUACCCUGGUAGUCCACGCCGUAAACGAUGAGUGCUAAGUGUUGGAGGGUUUCCGCCCUUCAGUGCUGCAGCUAACGCAUUAAGCACUCCGCCUGGGGAGUACGACCGCAAGGUUGAAACUCAAAGGAAUUGACGGGGACCCGCACAAGCGGUGGAGCAUGUGGUUUAAUUCGAAGCAACGCGAAGAACCUUACCAGGUCUUGACAUCCUUUGACCACUCUAGAGAUAGAGCUUUCCCUUCGGGGACAAAGUGACAGGUGGUGCAUGGUUGUCGUCAGCUCGUGUCGUGAGAUGUUGGGUUAAGUCCCGCAACGAGCGCAACCCUUAUUGUUAGUUGCCAUCAUUUAGUUGGGCACUCUAGCGAGACUGCCGGUGACAAACCGGAGGAAGGUGGGGAUGACGUCAAAUCAUCAUGCCCCUUAUGACCAGGGCUACACACGUGCUACAAUGGCGUAAACAAAGGGAAGCGAGCCCGCGAGGGGGAGCAAAUCCCAAAAAUAACGUCUCAGUUCGGAUUGUAGUCUGCAACUCGACUACAUGAAGCUGGAAUCGCUAGUAAUCGUAGAUCAGAAUGCUACGGUGAAUACGUUCCCGGGUCUUGUACACACCGCCCGUCACACCACGAGAGUUUGUAACACCCGAAGCCGGUGGAGUAACCUUUUAGGAGCUAGCCGUCGAAGGUGGGACAAAUGAUUGGGGUGAAGUCGUAACAAGGUAGCCGUAUCGGAAGGUGCGGCUG